GACAGAGGGUGCAAACGUUGUUCGGAUUUACUGGGCGUAAAGCGCGUGUAGGCGGCAGGGCAUGUCGGAUGUGAAAUCCCGUGGCUCAACCACGGAAGUGCACCCGAAACUGCCCAGCUUGAGUCUCGGAGAGGAAGGCGGAAUGCUUGGUGUAGAGGUGAAAUUCGUAGAUAUCAAGCGGAACACCGGUGGCGAAGGCGGCCUUCUGGACGAUGACUGACGCUGAGACGCGAAAGCGUGGGGAGCAAACAGG
rnacentral:rRNA from 1 species